rnacentral:lncRNA from 1 species
UUGAGCAUAUACAUUUUGGCACUUUUUACCGUUGUAGUGCCCUCAUAUGUUUCUUCUAGCCUUGUCCAUACUUCACUUGCUUUCUCAAGAUCUUUGACUUGUUCAAACACCUUUGAAUCAAUGCCAUUAUAGAUUGUAUUGAGAGCCAUAGUAUUGCAUUGCUUGUUUGCUCUCUCAUUGUCGGUGGGGUUAGCCGGAUCAAGAAUCACAAAGUCAUUUUCGGUGACUUCCCA